rnacentral:lncRNA from 1 species
AAAAUUGGAAUGUAAAGACAAUCUUUGGUUUUUCCAAUUUCUUUGGUAGUUCAUAUGAGGAAGUAAGUACUAUAUGCUUUUGCAAAGAUCUAUAUUUUAUUCACGUUUCGAAUGUGAAGCACCUUUUCCUUCUCUCAUAUAUCUUCUACUUCUUAUUAGUCACACUUUUACAACGAUUGUAAAACAUAGUUACUAAUACGGAAUCAAGCAUUCAAGUAGAAGAACCAACUGUUUUGAACUAUUCAAGAACAAUUUACAACACCUUUGAAAGGUGUGUUCUUGACACUUACAAGACAUUUCUUGCAAAUACCCUUUCCAAUGUCCAUCCUUUCAUAAAGAAAGUUUGUUCCCUUGGAGUUAAUUUAAUCUUCUUCAUUUGACUUCUCCUUUGACUACAAUAGUCAUGGUCCCUAAACUCCCACUAUCUCUCUUGAAACUUAUUUCAAUUGUGUUAUACACAUCAACAUUUUUGGAGAGCAUGUGGUUAUUGUUCACUACAUAGUUUACAAUAAACUUAGUGAACUAUUAGUAUAGGGACAUAAAGGUGAAGUCCUUGCCUAGUUUCCGUCUCAUUAAGUGGUUUAUCACUUCAACACUCAAUGAUUCAAAAUCAUUAUAAGUCCAUGUUAAUGGACUAUUUUUGUCAACCAACCAUUAUGUUCUAAACAUAAUU